UGGACAGAUGAAUUUUUCGAGAUCAUUCAACGUCAAACUAAUCUCCCAUGCUGCCUCAAUUUCGACAAGCACAAAAUUUCACGAUCGGGCAAAGCUACCCAUUAUGUGAUCGUCACUGAUCACUGUGCUAGCAAACAAUGCAAUAAUCCUUUAUAUUGUUAUCUGGAUGAAGAACCCGAAGAAGGAGAUUUUUUUAUGACUAUUAGGAUUAUUGAAGACCUCCUUGUAUGCUCAUCCAUUCAGCUGCAGUGACGAGCACUUUGAAUUCGUCUAAAUCCGCACUUUCCUCAUGCAGUUCAAACGACUCAUUAACCUUCCUAUACUCGCGUGUUGGUCUGUGAGACCGACGAAACACAUUUUCGUAAUUAUUUUUAUGCAGAUAAAUCCUAAGAAGUUGAGUUCCUUGCUAGCGGAUUUGUGGUUAACUUCGUUUUAGUACACGCCGCGCGUACGGGCGAAACACAUGUGUUGUAGCAUUCAUCACCAAUCGCUCCACGAGACCGACGCGAGUAUAGAUGUAACUUUUUGUAUUGCUGCUGGAAGAAUUGAGUUCUAGCUCAAGCUAUGAAGACGAAAAUGACAGUGAGGUGGAAGAUAACGUGGAGGUACAAGAAGAGACAUACGAUACCGAGCAAGACGAUGACAAUGAUGAGAUAUCUGAGGAAGAACAUAAUGAACGAUCCCAUGAUUUUUACUUAGGAAAAGAUGGACAGACAAGGUGGAAUAAAUCUCCUGCCUCAAAUCCAACAAGGCGAGGUGCUAGAAACAUAGUUACUCAACUUCCAGGCGCUAGAGGAGAAGCUAGAAAUUUGAAGGAACCAGCUGAGCUGUGGCGGCUUUUUUUUCGGAGGGCACUAUCAACCUGAUAGUAAAGUACACUAAUGAACAAAUUAAUCUUAUGAAGCUUAAUUUCACAAGAGAGAGAAACUGCGCCGAUACAGACAAUAUUGAAAUUGAAGCUUUUUUAGGCCUUUUACUGUUUGCUGGAGUCAGAAGGAACGCUCGUGUAAAUGCCAAAGAUUUUUUCAGAACUGACGGGUCAUCCCCGGAGAUAUUUCGAUUGACUAUGGGAUUAUUAAGGAAGGGCUAAGUAUGCGGUAGGCAGGAUGUUUGUUCUUUCUUAAAAGUAAAUUUUCCGAUUACCAGUUCCUGGUAAGUAUUCUUUUACAGAUGUGAGAGACAGAAUAUUUUUUAUUAUUUCAAUUGUAAUUGUUCAAUUCGGUUUGGUAUCGUUUACAAUCCCCAGAAAUUUAGCUUUGGAGGACACAGAUUUUUUGUACCACUGAGGUAAAGGUCUACAUAUGAUCCAGCUUUCACCCCAUCUCAAUUGAAUUGAAAAUAUUCCAUUCAGCGCUACCAACCAUUUGGACAUCCAAAUACGUAAAUGAGAUCCUGUUGAGUAAACCUUGACAGCAAUAAUCUUCAAUUUGAGGCCUUCAAACACGUCGCUGAUUUUAGCGACAUUACCCGUCAAGAAUUCCAAGGAGAUUCGGUUUGUGCACUUGAUGACCCUACAGUCCCCAAUCAUUUCUGAAGAGUUAUGCGUCAGGUGGAUUAUCGAGCAACAACCCUAAGAUUAAGUUCACUAAUCUACACUAACUUCUUCUGUAUAGUGUUUGGAAUAGUGCAAAACUCUAAGCUAUAGUUUUACUACAAUUUACUAAGAUAUUUCAUAUAUUGGGGGCGCAAUUAAGUUUCCGCUUUUUGUCAAUAUUUGGCUCCAAUAAUUAGUGGUGAUCGAUUUUGAUAUAUCCAAAACGUGACAAACAUAAUCUAGACAUUUGAAAAAGAAACUGCAGUUCCCCUAUAUAGCAAUAGUACAUAUGACCGAUUUCACACCAAAUAAUCGUUAUUUGUGGGAAGUGUUGAUUUUCUUCUUUCAGUCAAAUAAAUUGGAAGCUGAAGCACACAGAAAACUGCCCAAAGUUUAUGGAGGGGCUACCCCUAGUGAAACAACGUGCCGUGAUUGGUUCGAUAUUAACAACAGUCCGUGUGAAUGAUGGCUAUGAAAAAAGAGACAUUACUCGAUAACAUUGGAAGUCAAAGACAAACUUUUGUUCCUUUUGACCUAAAUACCAAGAUACACAAAAAGUCUUUCUGCUGUCUCAAUACAAGAAAAAGUUGAUGGUUCCCGAUGAGAAAUACAUUGAAUUAUUCACUUGCA